rnacentral:lncRNA from 1 species
GUUCCCCGCGUUUUGGGAAGGAAGGAGGGAUUCCCGCCCCGCCCCCUCUUGGUGCCUACGCAUGGACUGGGUAUAUAAGACGCACCAUAGACGGGAAAGGCAUAUUGUCCCUCCUCUGUGGCACGACAGACGUUCACUUGCACCAGGAUGAAGCUGAUUUCGCUGUUGAUGGCUCUGGUUGUGGCCCUGUCUGGCCUCCUGGGUUCAGCUCGUGCCAUGCCUGACCCCUACCCUGUGGCUGACCCCGUGGCUAACCCUGACCCCGUAGCUGACCCCUGGUUCUUCAAACGCAAGCACUACUACCCCCGCCGUCACUACUACCCAAGCUACCAUCACUACCACCACUGGUGAAGAAGAGGAAACCUUUUUUCUACCUGGAAAACAUUAAUUACCACAACCAGUAAAAAUAUCCUUCAGUGACCUUACAAACCGAUGUCCUAAUCUAACCUAAUCUCCAUGUCUCCUUAAACUUACAGUAUAAUAAAAUCCUGUUAGAUA